rnacentral:rRNA from 1 species
CGACAAGCUGGAUAAGGGCGUAUGGGGAAUGCCUAGGCUCUCAGAGGCGAAGAAGGACGCGAUAAGCUGCGAAAAGCUGCGGGGAUCGGCACAUACGAUGUGAUCCGCAGGUAUCCGAAUGGGGCAACCCACCAUAUUGAAGGUAUGGUACCCCGCAAGGGGGGCAAACCCGGUGAACUGAAACAUCUAAGUAGCCGGAGGAGGAGAAAACAAAAGUGAUUCCGUGAGUAGUGGCGAGCGAAAGCGGAUUAGUCCAAACCGAUGUUGUUUCGGCAAUAUCGGGGUUGUAGGACCGCGACAUUCGAUGUGCGAUGAAUCAGAACCCUUUGGAAAGAGGGACCGUAGAGGGUGAUAGUCCCGUAAGAGCAAAGAACAU